rnacentral:tRNA from 1 species
GCCCGGGUAGCUCAAUCGGUAGAGGUCAGCCAUUCACAGCCCUCUACACGCUAUACAAUCUCGCUAACAUGCAACAGCGUGUGGCUCUUAGUCUCUAGGAGACAACCUCAAGGUCGUGGGUUCGAGCCCCACCUCGGGCU